rnacentral:tRNA from 1 species
ACUUAAAUAGCUUAAGUAGAGCGUAGCAUUGAAGCUGCUGAGGUAGUCUAUUGACUUUUAGGUA